GCAUUAAUGGGGUAGUGGUAACCUGGGUCGUUGCCAUCCUAUCUCGACCCGCCGGGGGUUCGAUUCCCCCUUAAUGCA
rfam:Laetiporus sulphureus 93-53 unplaced genomic scaffold LAESTscaffold_8, whole genome shotgun sequence.